rnacentral:lncRNA from 1 species
AUGCUUUGUUGUCAGUGUAUGUUUGGGGAUUUAAAUUUCAUGCUUGUUUUUGCUUCAGGGGUUUCCAUCUCCUUCCACCCUGCCUGCGGGGACGGGAGCAGGGGAGGCUUCGCCCGGCUCCUGGGCGCCGCUUGCUGCUGCAGGCAGCCACGCUGCUCGGCCCAGGAGCAUCUGUGUGACCGAACUUGGGAGGCAUCUCAACUUGAUGAAGACAUUUUCCCGCUAUCUGCUGUUAUCUGGGUGCCUGGAAGAAUUCCGGAGGAGCUCUCAUCCUGCCUCCAGGCAGGGCUUAUGGGAUUUGCACCGGUCCCAGUUGCCAUGGAGAAAGUGUUAGAUAGCUUUAAUACAUCUGUGCGAAUUUCUCCCUGGAGUUUUCCCAUGACAAGCUGGACUGGAGAUCCAUCAGUUUGCCCUGCCUUUAACCGGAAGAUAGUUGAAGGAACGUGA